rnacentral:rRNA from 1 species
AUUGAACGCUGGCGGCAGGCCUAACACAUGCAAGUCGAGCGAGCGGCGGACGGGUGAGUAAUGUCUGGGAAACUGCCUGAUGGAGGGGGAUAACUACUGGAAACGGUAGCUAAUACCGCAUACCAUCAGAUGGGCCCAGAUGGGAUUAGCUAGUAGGUGGGGUAACGGCUCACCUAGGCGACGAUCCCUAGCUGGUCUGAGAGGAUGACCAGCCACACUGGAACUGAGAGUCGGUCCAGACUCCUACGGGAGGCAGCGGUGGGAAAUAUUGCACAAUGGGCGCAAGCCUGGUGCAGCCAUGCCGGGUGUGUGAAGAAGGCCUUGGGGUUGUAAAGCACUUUCAGCUGGGAGGCGUUACCCGCAGAAGAAGCGCCGGCUAACUCCGUGCCAGCAGCCGCGGUAAUAC